GUCUACGGCCAUGCCACCCUGAACACGCCAAGUCUCGUCUGAUCUCGGAAGCUAAGCAGGGUUGGGGCUGGUUAGUACUUGGAUGGGAGACCACUUAGGAAUACCAGGUGCUGUAGACG
rnacentral:rRNA from 1 species